GAGUUUGAUCCUGGCUCAGGAUSAACGCUGGCGGCGUGCUUAACACAUGCAASUCGAACGWUGAAGCCCAGCUUGCUGGGUGGAUUASUGGCGAACGGGUGAGUAACACGUGAGUAACCUGCCCUUAACUCUGGGAUAAGCCUGGGAAACUGGGUCUAAUACCGGAUAGGAGCGUCCACCGCAUGGUGGGUGUUGGAAAGAUUUAUCGGUUUUGGAUGGACUCGCGGCCUAUCAGCUUGUUGGUGAGGUAAUGGCUCACCAAGGCGACGACGGGUAGCCGGCCUGAGAGGGUGACCGGCCACACUGGGACUGAGACACGGCCCAGACUCCUACGGGAGGCAGCAGUGGGGAAUAUUGCACAAUGGGCGCAAGCCUGAUGCAGCGACGCCGCGUGAGGGAUGACGGCCUUCGGGUUGUAAACCUCUUUCAGUAGGGAAGAAGCGAAAGUGACGGU
rnacentral:rRNA from 1 species